CUGCGGCAGCUAGCCAAUUAAAGGAGGAGGAUGAAGGAGAGGAGUCUGACGAUGCCGACAUCGCCAUCGUAUGCAGUCCACGCCCUCGCAGGAAAACCAGCCAAUGAAAACGCUUGCAGCAGCAUCAGCAGAACACACCGGCACGACUGACAGAGCUUCUGAAGCAUGCAGUGGAAGACCUGUCAGUCAAGCUAAAGGUCCCGCCCUCCAACCUGCUGCUGCUGCACGGAGAGGCGGAACUUAACACCUCACACACUAUUGGCCAGCUAGGACUCUGCAUCGCUGACAUCUUUGUCUGGAACCAACUUCACAUCCCUCUUCACUGCACUACUGACACUGAGAUGGAAUCCACAACCCAACCACUAGUGGUCUGCAUUGGGAACCUGAAGACUCUGUCAUAACCGCCAGGAAUGACCGUGUGACCAUUCCCGUUGCAGACGGCCUGACUUGCACAAUUGACAAGCUGUUCAAGCUUUACUGGGUCUGCAACUUGUUAUAUCCAGCACAGCUCAGCUCUGUUUUCACCUUCUUUGAAUAUGUUUAUGACGUUCCCAUCUCAACCAACAAACGAACAAAGGCACUACAACUUCUCUCAAAGCUUCCCAGCAGCCCAGUGAUCACUCAACAUGUGUUUAUGCCCAAAAUGUAAAUAGCUACUACAGACAUCAAGAAAGUAGUUUGGCAUCUUUGUCAUGUACACGCUUUGUCAGAUGCACAGGAUAUGAUGAUAAUUUGCAGCCAAGAUGGCUGUUCAAGUGUACAAGGACUUACUAUGUAGACACCACCUACGUAGAUAUGUUGUAAAACUGGACGAUUGUGAAAUGAUAUGAUGUGGCAGAUGUAAGACCCAUUGAUGUAAUGCAGAGUUUUCAUUCAGAUGAACUGUCUCUUAACCCAAGGUACAAUGUCUUUUCUUCCAAUAUGUUGGAUCCUACAGUAUUUCAUAAGAAAGUUUUCAAGAGUAUUUAACACUACUUCGAAUUUCAAGACUUUUGGGUUUUGUAAUACACCGGUAAUGUUGUUAAGAGAUGAUAGUGUACGAGUCAUAAUCAUCAAUACUUCAUGAAAUUCGCAGUGGUGUUAAUUAUUCUUGAAAAAGAUCACAUUUGUUAUCUCCCCCUCUUCUGAAAAGCCUAACAAAAAAGAAUAUGACAGUAAAGUUAAUGUAAUACAAUUUUUUUUUAAUUGAAUGUAAACACAACUCUACAAAAAAAACAAAAAAAACGUUGCAGAGGUAUGUAGUCAAGACUUUUGAAGAUUUAACCUUGUAAACAAAAGUGUUUGCUAAAUAAAAGUAAACCCCCCCUGUCA